ensembl:lncRNA
UCUUAAUUGAUUUUGUAUUGAAUGCUCAGUAGGUGUCCAUCAAGGCUAAUUGAGGCUUGUUCAUCAAGUAAAUUAACAACAUGGUUCUUCAGUUAAAUCUAUAAAGGCAGGUGAGGUAAUCUAACUUCAGUUAAUUCUAUAAAGGCAGGUGAGGUAAUCUAACUUCAGUUAAUUCUAUAAAGGCAGGUGAGUGACAGGCGUGGUAAUCUAACUUCAGUUAAUUCUAUAAAGGCAGGUGAGGUAAUCUAACUUCAGUUCAUUCUAUAAAGGCAGGUGAGUGACAGGUGAGGUAAUCUAACUUCAGUUAAUUCUAUAAAGGCAGGUGAGUGACAGGUGAGGUAAUCUAACUUCAGUUAAUUCUAUAAAGGCAGGUGAGGUAAUCUAACUUCAGUUAAUUCUAUAAA